rnacentral:rRNA from 1 species
AAUUGAAGAGUUUGAUCAUGGCUCAGAUUGAACGCUGGCGGCAGGCCUAACACAUGCAAGUCGAGCGGUAGCACAGAGAGCUUGCUCUCGGGUGACGAGCGGCGGACGGGUGAGUAAUGUCUGGGAAACUGCCUGAUGGAGGGGGAUAACUACUGGAAACGGUAGCUAAUACCGCAUAACGUCGCAAGACCAAAGUGGGGGACCUUCGGGCCUCAUGCCAUCAGAUGUGCCCAGAUGGGAUUAGCUAGUAGGUGGGGUAACGGCUCACCUAGGCGACGAUCCCUAGCUGGUCUGAGAGGAUGACCAGCCACACUGGAACUGAGACACGGUCCAGACUCCUACGGGAGGCAGCAGUGGGGAAUAUUGCACAAUGGGCGCAAGCCUGAUGCAGCCAUGCCGCGUGUGUGAAGAAGGCCUUCGGGUUGUAAAGCACUUUCAGCGGGGAGGAAGGCGGUGAGGUUAAUAACCUCAUCGAUUGACGUUACCCGCAGAAGAAGCACCGGCUAACUCCGUGCCAGCAGCCGCGGUAAUACGGAGGGUGCAAGCGUUAAUCGGAAUUACUGGGCGUAAAGCGCACGCAGGCGGUCUGUCAAGUCGGAUGUGAAAUCCCCGGGCUCAACCUGGGAACUGCAUUCGAAACUGGCAGGCUAGAGUCUUGUAGAGGGGGGUAGAAUUCCAGGUGUAGCGGUGAAAUGCGUAGAGAUCUGGAGGAAUACCGGUGGCGAAGGCGGCCCCCUGGACAAAGACUGACGCUCAGGUGCGAAAGCGUGGGGAGCAAACAGGAUUAGAUACCCUGGUAGUCCACGCCGUAAACGAUGUCGAUUUGGAGGUUGUGCCCUUGAGGCGUGGCUUCCGGAGCUAACGCGUUAAAUCGACCGCCUGGGGAGUACGGCCGCAAGGUUAAAACUCAAAUGAAUUGACGGGGGCCCGCACAAGCGGUGGAGCAUGUGGUUUAAUUCGAUGCAACGCGAAGAACCUUACCUGGUCUUGACAUCCACAGAACUUUCCAGAGAUGGAUUGGUGCCUUCGGGAACUGUGAGACAGGUGCUGCAUGGCUGUCGUCAGCUCGUGUUGUGAAAUGUUGGGUUAAGUCCCGCAACGAGCGCAACCCUUAUCCUUUGUUGCCAGCGGUCCGGCCGGGAACUCAAAGGAGACUGCCAGUGAUAAACUGGAGGAAGGUGGGGAUGACGUCAAGUCAUCAUGGCCCUUACGACCAGGGCUACACACGUGCUACAAUGGCAUAUACAAAGAGAAGCGACCUCGCGAGAGCAAGCGGACCUCAUAAAGUAUGUCGUAGUCCGGAUUGGAGUCUGCAACUCGACUCCAUGAAGUCGGAAUCGCUAGUAAUCGUAGAUCAGAAUGCUACGGUGAAUACGUUCCCGGGCCUUGUACACACCGCCCGUCACACCAUGGGAGUGGGUUGCAAAAGAAGUAGGUAGCUUAACCUUCGGGAGGGCGCUUACCACUUUGUGAUUCAUGACUGGGGUGAAGUCGUAACAAGGUAACCGUAGGGGAACCUGCGGUUGGAUCACCUCCUUACCUUA